UACAGAGGUCCCAAGCGUUGUUCGGAAUCACUGGGCGUAAAGGGUGCGUAGGCGGCGCGGAAAGUCAGGGGUGAAAUUCCGGAGCUCAACUCCGGAACUGCCUUUGAUACUCCCGCGCUUGAGAACUGGAGGGGAGACCGGAAUUCACGGUGGAGCAGUGAAAUGCGUGGACAUCGUGAGGAACACUAGUGGCGAAGGCGGGUCUCUGGACAGUAUCUGACGCUGAGGCACGAAGGCCAGGGGAGCGAACGGG
rnacentral:rRNA from 1 species